CCUUGAAACACCGAUUCCCGUUCGAUCACGGGAAUUAAACAACAUCGAACCUGGUCAGUAUCUAGAUGGGUGACCGCUUGGGAACUCCAACUGC